rnacentral:rRNA from 1 species
UACAGCCAUACCACCCUGAACAUGCCUGAUCUCGUAAGCUAAGCAGGGUCCGGCCUGGUUAGUACUUACAUGGGAGAUCCUGAGUUCAGUUCCUGGCAGUAC